UAGAGGAAGCUAGUGACUCAGAGGCUGUUGGUUAUGCUGGUAAUGUGAGAGUUCAUGUUUACUGCUUGUUUACACGCACUGUCACGCACGUCAACUUCGCUGCGCGUCAGAAUUCAGGCACGGAAGAUUGUUGUCUGUGCUUGUUAGGUAUUUGCAGCGGCAGGGUUAUGCGUUUCUUUAGGUGUGCGAGUAUUAUUCAUGACAACACGCCUGGAUUGGUGGAGUCAGUGAAAGAGGCGUGGUUUGUGAAGUUUUUGGGGGUGUGCGCGUGUGUCAGUUACAGCGACACACACAUAGACACUAGUCUAUUUAUGUCAUGCACACACUCUGAGUUGGUGUAUGUGCGCGAGUGACCUAUUGACAACGCUCAUUAGACUGGAGACUUCCACAUGUUAAGAUAGCCGUGAUUCCCUCGCCACUCUUUGGGAGAAAAAUGAUCAAGAUGUCAUUGGAGAAAGAGACCAUUAUCCCACUUGAGGUUCCGGUCAAAGUGAGCCCCUCCUUCCCCUCUGCUGUCAGCCGAUCAGAACCAUCACACCCCAACAAGACUGCAGACUUCCAUUUCAAGAAUGUACUCCAGCAGACACAUCCGGCUCAGCGUGUUGGGAAGAAGAGAUACUCCAUGAGUUUUUCAUUUAAGGGCCCAGCGAAGCGUCGUCGUCGGGCCAACAGUGAUAGUCAAAUGGAGCCUGUGCUGCCAACUAACUUUCUUUUAGGAGGGAAUAUCUUUGACCCACUCAACCUGAAUUCUCUGUUGGACGACGAUGUGAACAGAGUCACCAAUCAGGAAACACCGCAGUCUUCGCCUCUGCCAUCCCGUGGUGGAGACCCAGUAGAGAUACUGAUUCCCCGUGAUAUAACAGAUCCCUUAAAUCUUAAGGGGGAAGGAGGAGAUGCUGAAGAUAAAGGGGGAGUUCUCCUGUCCCCUCUUAAGUCCAGAAAGAGACACCGGAACAGACAGUUUGGUGGAGCAGCCAGAGGGGGAGGAGACAAAGAGAUCAUACCAGCACGACUCUUCCCUUCCACUGGUGGUUUAAAGGUUCCUGUAAUGACCAGAGAGGGCAGUGUUCCAGUGUCACCACUUCCUUGCGAACUAAACACAGCCAUAACCUGUCGAGAUGAUGUGGCACCACCCCCCAUUCUCCCUAGAAGACAUACCCACCCACCGCCGGGACAGGGCCCAAAGACUUGUAACCAGAGCGAGGGACGACAACGGAAGCGGAGACGCACCACAUCCGCUAAGUGUACAGAUAGCAAUGCAGUCACUGUGAACAAAACCACUGUGGCUCAGCCAACCAAGUUCCAAACACCGCUGGUCGGAGGUGCCCGGGUCACUAGGUUUGGUGGACACGCUGGCACCAGUCAGACACCAGAGAGGAAGAAGAACCGACACAGAUACCAGUUAGGCAGCCACUGUCGUUACUACGGUUACCACGGCUCUUAUGGUGGCGGGUGGGAAGGUCGUGUUGGGGAAACAGAGGAUCCCAGACUCCGUCUUCUUCAGGCUGACUGGUUUAAAGGCAAAAAGGUGUUGGACAUUGGCUGUGGUGCCGGACAUGUGACCUUGGUCGUUGCACGCAAGUUUGAGCCCACCCACAUCCUGGGGGUGGAGCUAGAUGAUAAAUUGGUGCACGCCGCAAAGCAGAACAUCAGACACUAUAUGUCACAUGAUUUGGUGGAAAUGGAGAGGAGCAGGAGAUGUGAACUGUUGUCUGUAACUACAAAGGAGGCAGGAGGAAGAGAGGACAACAUGAAAGAGGUGAAGGAGGAGACAAAAGAGGAGUCACCUCCAAAGAUGGAGGUGACAGAAAAUGAGCUGUACCUGAGUGAGAAAUCAGAGGAGAUGAAUGGUGUGAAAACUGAAGCGGAUGCAAGCGAGGGGAAGACAAGCAAGAUGAUGAAGGAUACACAAAAGGAGGGAAAAGACAACGUAACAAAGGCCAAUGACCAAUUAAUAGAGGAGUUGAAGGAGACAAUGUCCCUCCUUUCCUUCCCUCUUUCCUUCCGAGUGAGUAGGGGUCCUCUUUCAGCCCCUGCUGUUGUGACUGCACCUUCCACUUCCUGCCAGUUCCCCAACAACGUUACCUUCAUACAGGGGGACUAUGUAUCGAUGAGGAACACGUGGCCUGGCCAGGGUCAUUAUGACGUCAUCAUUUGUCUGAGCGUGACUAAGUGGGUGCACCUGCAGGCAGGUGAUAGUGGUGUGGUCAAACUGUUCAAACGGGCCUAUCACAGCCUGCUGCCUGGAGGGUUGUUCAUCCUAGAGUCCCAACCGUGGAGCCGUUACAGCCACAGCAAAAGAGCCUCGGAAACCACGUACCGUAACUACCGGAGUAUCCGGCUGAGGCCACAUCAGUUCACAAGUUACCUGACGGAGACUGUGGGCUUCAGUUCAUAUAGGCUCAUCAAAAACACUGGUAACCAGCGUCCAAUCUACCUUUUUCACAAAGGACCUAUCCACAGGAAGUGAGGUGUCUGUACCAUCUUGUUCCAUUAAUGAAGCUCUGAAACUUUUCAGACAGUUCAUGCUCUAAUGGGCGCAAGGGAUCCCGUAAAUGUUGUAUGACCUUUGCCACGCAAGCGGGACUCCACAGAACCUAGGGACUGAUUGGUGGCUCCAAACUUCUGACUGAAUUUUUGUUUUCUUUCUCAAGUAUUUUCUUUAAGGUUGAGACAUUGCACAGACUGUAAAUAAACAAAGUGUCUUGUUUUACACUUGUUACUUUUUUUCUGGUAAAUUCCAUGCUCUGAGCUACAUUUGACCUCAGGGUGGGGGGGCGAUAGCCCCCAGUGAACACAGAAUGUGGAAAAAAAUCUUAACUCCAUAUUGAGGGUAGCAAAGCUAGAAUGAGUAUUUGUGCAUUCUGUUUAGAAGAGAAACAUGUCCAAAGCCUGUUUGGCAGAGGGACCUUUAGCACCAUAAAAGUAGGUAAAUAAAACUUUGGGGUCUAUGUAAUAGAAUGACAAGCACGGAAUACAUCCAGCUGACAUUUUUCUAGACGUGUUGCCAGGUCAGCAGCCUCAGUGAAGAGGCCUCGACUUCCUUCAUCCAGCCCUAUUGGGGACGACCAGGGUCCAGGUAUGUCCUGAUCACCACAGGGUUCAGCAGGCAUCUGGACAGAACGCCCCAGUCAACUCCACUGACUCUCAUUGUGGUGGAUCUGGCUUUCUACUCCGAUCUUUAGUAGAGGAAUGGGCCUACCUUUUUAUUCUGUCUUCUCAGCCAAGACUGGCUGGCACUUCUUGCAACCUCAUUUGUCAGUUACUGAAUGUUGAAAUUAAAAAAUGGCCAUUCCCAUCAAACAAUUCACUUCAAUGCUGUAUCUUGAUCAGAACAACGCUGGUAUUCUCUCCACGCUGGGUUAUGGAUUGGCUGAACCUCAAUGCUUACUUCACUGUCAUAACAGCGACAUCACAUUUGUAGUUCUAUGUACUUCCUCUGAUAAUAGGGAAUACCUUAAUCUUAACAGAUUUAAAUAGGUCUGUCAUAGAAAGACUUUGCCGUAGAUUUAGAGUAUGAUAGUAGAGUGGUUGUUAUUGUUUCGAACCUGAUAAUAAGUAUAAAAGGCACGACAGACAGUGUUGUACAAGAACAGAGGAUCAAAGGAGCAAUCUAAUCUAUAUAUCCUUAAACGCACCUCUUUUCUCGUCUUCUAAACACAGAAACGCUAGCGGUGCAGACGCAAAUGACGUCGACUGUAAACACGGAAGUAAAUCGAAGCUAAGCUAGCGUCGGCUGCUAACCAACAUCAGUGACCUGCCACAACAAUAAAAUAACAACUAAGCCCUCAAUUGAUGCACUCAUAAGGGUAUCAAAAUAUAUGAGGACAUUUUUUACGACUGGUUUUCCGUUGGGAAAUGGGGCUUCGGCGAAUUAACCAAGCGUCAGCGAUUGCAGGCCUUGUGUGCAUUUGCGCACAUCACCAAAAUAGCUUGAUUUAUUCGCUGGAUUAUUAAAAUGGGUUUUAUGUGUGCUUUGAGUGACUAGAUCUAUUUUAAAGGAGCGACUACAUGACCACAAACACAUCCCAUGUUACAGGUUUCAUUUCAAAUACCACGUUUUGCACUGUUCAUUCAAAGAAACCAUUAGGGAAAGAUACAUAUACAGUCACCUGAGCUGUUUCCAGCAAGAACUUAGACUGUCCUCUGACUGAUCCUUACCCGAGGCACCACAAGAAUGAACCUCCCUGCAGAAAGUCACAGGAAAUGAAUGGUGGCAAACAAACCACACCGAG